rnacentral:rRNA from 1 species
CACGUAGGGCGCAAGCGUUGUCCGGAAUUAUUGGGCGUAAAGAGCUCGUAGGCGGUCUGUUGCGUCCGCUGUGAAAACUCGGGGCUUAACCCCGAGCCUGCAGUGGAUACGGGCAGACUAGAGUGCGGUAGGGGAGACUGGAAUUCCUGGUGUAGCAGUGAAAUGCGCAGAUAUCAGGAGGAACACCGGUGGCGAAGGCGGGUCUCUGGGCCGAUACUGACGCUGAGGAGCGAAAGCGUGGGGAGCGAACAGG